AUUGAAACUCAAACAAACAAUAGUUACUGCUUUUUACAUAAAAUGACAACCAAAUAUUAUAACUGCGCUAUUUUUUUGGAUAAUUUUUUUUUAACCUAUAAUCAUAAAUUUAAUGCUAUACAAAGCAACAUAUAUGAGUAUUUAUUUUGUUUAAUAAAUUUGAAAAACACGAAUGUAAGAUUUUUUUUUUUAUGCAGUGUGGUUUUUAAUAUGUACAUGUUUAGGUUGUGGGUAGAGACGCUGCAUAAGAAAGUGACCGUUAUUGAUUUAUCAAGUCAAAAGGACGUUUAUGUUUUACAUAAAAAAUUUGUGCUUAAGUUGGAUGAUAAUAGUGGUGGUGGUGGUGGUAGUGAUGGUUGUGGUGGUAGUGAUGGUUGUCGUGGUAGUGAUGGUUGUGAUGGUAGUGAUGGUUGUGGUGGUAGUGGUAGUGGUAGUGGUAGUGAUGGUUGUGGUAAUACCAACAGUACCAAUAAAAACACUAUUGAAAAAGACAAAAAAAAUAGCCCAAAAAAUGGACUUAGUGAUUUAUCCGGUUCUUACAAUUUUUCAAAAAAACCUAAUACUAAUGAUGACUUCAAUUUAAUAAAUCUUGUCAAAAAUAGAAAAAGAAAUGUUAUAAAUAAAGAAAUGGAAAAUAAAUUAUUACUCUUUAAUAAUUAUAGAAAAGAAAUCAUUGUUAAUUAUUUAAAAAAGAAUAAUUUAUAUAAUUUAAACAAAUUAAAAAAACAAAAUAAAAAAAUUAAAAGAAAACUAAACAUAGCAAAAAGAGUCUUAAAAAAAAAAAAUCAUCUAACGAAUUUAAAUAUUGAUCAUUAUAUAAACUUUAUUAUUAAUACCCAAAAAAAAGGUAGUAUAUUUUUAAAAAAAAAAAUAAUAGAUCCUGAGUAUGUUAUGAAAAAAGAAAUUUUACAACUAAAUGAUAAGAUCAAGUUGUUGACUAAACGUAUGAAUGUUUCUUAUAAUAUGCAUAAUAAUAAUAAUACUGUACAUAAGGAAAAGAACAAACAUUGUUCGGAUAACAACGGAUUUGAUACAAAGGAAUAUAAACACGAUAUGUAUAACCAAGUGAUGGAUAAACCAUUUUUGAAAAAGAAACUGUCAAGUGAUCAAAUAUGUUUAGAAGAAACGGAACAAAUAAAAAGUAUGAACAAUACAAACGAGUACAAUAAUCAUUGUAGUCACGCAUGUUCUUGUGAUACAAACUGUAUCUACUCCCAAAAAAAAGACAUAUGUUUUUGCAAUUCGAAAGUUAAAUGGUUUUACACGAAUUGUGAGAAUAGUAAUAACAACAGUAACAAAAUGGUGGAAAAAGCAAACAAAAUAAUUGACCGAACGAAAAAUGUUGAAAUUUAUCCGUGUAUUUAUUAUAUAUUUGAUGAAGAAAAUAAACUUGAAACGUUCGCUGAAUUAUUAUAUAAACAAAUGAAUCGUUUGCAAAAUAAAGAAAUAAAAAAAAAAUUCCAAUUUCUUAUUAAAAAAUAUCAACAAACAAUAAAAAAAAUAGAUCUAAAAUUUAUAAAAUAUUUACGAAAAGGAAUUUAUUUAAUUAAAAAUGUUAUGAACGAGUCAGAGGAAAACAUUCUUACUAUAUUAUUAAACAAUAAAAUGAUAAGAAUUAUUUUGUCACGUGUUGAUAUUUCAACUACCAAGAUAAAAAUAAACAGUGUAUUUGUAGAAACUGUACAAAUAAAAAAUCAAAAUAAAAUAAAAGAAUAUAACAAUUUGAUAGACAAAAUAAAUGAAUUUCAUAGUGAUAUAUUUUUUAAUAAACAUAAAAUAAUGGAACAAAAAAUAGAAAAAAAUGUUAUUUAUAAUAAAAAAGAAUUAAAAAAUAUUUUUCAAAAUAACACAAUGAUUAUAACUGAAGAUAUGUAUCGGUUACAUUUCAUCAAGUAUUUUAUGUUUUUAAAUUUUAAAAAUAUAUUUAAACAAUAUACAUUAUCUAAUAGUGAGUUGAUCAAUUUAGCAAGAAAUGCAAAA
ensembl:lncRNA